rnacentral:lncRNA from 1 species
GGCAGAGCCUCUGCCACUCACAGCUGGGGCCUGGGUAAGGCCUCCCUCCCAGUGGUGGUGUUUAAAGGCCCAAAGGGUGUCCAGCCUGCCCACUCCCCUGGCAUCAUGGGCACCUGGGCCUUGUCCACAGCCUUUUUCCUCCUCUGUCUGACUCCUGAGAGCCUGCAAGGUGGUGAGGACAGAGGGCUGGGCAGCUGGGAUCAGGGCUGGGAGAGAAGAGCAUUGGCCAGGGAAGGUGGAGGUAUGGAGAGCCUGAGCUGGCAGAGAAUUCAGAUAGGACCUUUUGGGUGUAUAAGGGUGCCUGGGUCUUAUCCCCUCUCAGUCUCUGGGCUCCCACCCUGUGCAGCACCCCCUCACUCCCACAGGGCUGGACCCACUCUCUUCUGGUCUGAGGAAAGGCUUUGGGAGUUCAAAUGGCUACAGAUCAGGUAAAACUUUCUGGAGGAUGUGGUCCUCAGGACAUGGUACCCCAGCUUCUGUUCCUGCUGCCCCCACCAAAGCUCAACUGCUCAUUUCUACCACGGGCUAUGGCCCUCCCAGUGGGCUGGGAGCAGGCUUUGGAAGGAGUGCUAAACCUCAGAAACCAGGCCUUCUAGCUCAGAAUGGCUAUGGAGCAAGCAGAGGAGCUGCAAACCAAGAUUCUAGGGGUGUCCCUGGGAUGGGGGGCUUCUCAGACCCUCAACUGACCUUCAUCUCUUUCUCAGGAAUUGGAGGGGGUGUGAAUCCUCAGAAGCCAGGUGAGUCUCUCAGACCGUGCCUGUCUCUUCUCCCACCUUAUUCCUCCCUGACUUCCCCUUACUCUAUCACACCAGGGUUUGGUACCUAG